rnacentral:rRNA from 1 species
GAGUUUGAUCAUGGCUCAGAACGAACGCUGGCGGCAUGCCUAACACAUGCAAGUCGAACGAGACCUUCGGGUCUAGUGGCGCACGGGUGCGUAACGCGUGGGAAUCUGCCCUUGGGUUCGGAAUAACUUCGGGAAACUGAAGCUAAUACCGGAUGAUGUCGUAAGACCAAAGAUUUAUCGCCCAGGGAUGAGCCCGCGUAGGAUUAGCUAGUUGGUGGGGUAAAGGCCUACCAAGGCGACGAUCCUUAGCUGGUCUGAGAGGAUGAUCAGCCACACUGGGACUGAGACACGGCCCAGACUCCUACGGGAGGCAGCAGUGGGGAAUUGUUCGCAAUGGGCGCAAGCCUGACGACGCGACGCCGCGUGGAGGAUGAAGAAUUUCGGUUCGUAAACUCCUUUCGACCGAGAUGAACACCCCGCAAUUUAAUACGUUGUGGGACUGACAGUAUCGAGAGAAGAAGCCCCGGCUAACUCUGUGCCAGCCGCCGCGGUAAU